rnacentral:lncRNA from 1 species
GUUGGGGUUAUUUUGGGAAUAAAAAAAAAAAGAAUGCGUCCGGAUAUUUUCCCGUCAUUGGACAAAACUUUAAGUCAGAUUAGACUUCCGGUUUGUAUUUUUCUGUACUUUGAACAUACUGUACAAAGACUAUGAAUAAAGUAUAUAAAUUUGCUUUCUGCUGUCAUUUUGAGUUCUAGCAUGUAUCAUCCUUGCUUAACGUGUUUCAGUUUUGGUUAUUGUGGGAGGAAAACGAAAAUGAAUAAUAUUUGCUAUUUACGAUCAAUUAGUUUACAGUGGCGGAUGCCAGAACUUUUCAUAAGAGGGGCCUGACUGACCAAAAAGGGGGGGGGGGCGUUCCUCUCAUGCUUCAGUGAUUCCCCACAUAAUCAACAAAUUUUUUCAACGAAAACGGGGGCAGGGCCUCCAGGUCCCAAUGGGAUCCGCCUAUGGUUUAUUUAUAAUCAACGGCGGUCCGUGACUGCGGAUAUAUUUCUGUACAUACUUACAUACAUUUACUAUGAAUAAUUGUAUUUGUUAUAAUUUACUAUAAAUUCAUUUUCUGUACCUUGAACAUACAAAGACUAUGAAUAAAGUAUAUACAUUU